AUGUUUUGUAAUGACCGAGGUCUAACUACUUUUGCUUCUUAUAUAUGCACGCUUUUCUUGAAAAUCCAUAGCAUUUUUCUUAUUUUUUUGUUUUAUUGAACACUUUUAGUUAUAAAUUUAAUAAACUAAAUUGUGAGAAUUUUAUUAUAAUAAUGAAUUACUGGCCCCGUUCGGUAACCAUUUUAAAAAUGGUUUUUGUUUUUUUAAUAAAAAAUUUAUAAAUACAAACAGAAAUUAUGUUCGGUAAACUAUUUUACUUUUUUGUUUUUAAAAUUUAAAAUUAAAAAGAAGUAAAUUUUAAAAAUAAAUUUUUGAUGAUUUUAAAAAUUUUUAAAAACACUUUUUCAGUACACUUUUGCUUAUCUCUCUCUCUCUCUCUCUCUCUCUCUCUCUCUCUCUCUCUCUCUCUCUCUCUCUCUCUCUCUCUCUCUCUCUCUCUCUCUCGUUAGUCUUCCAUCUCCUCAAUGAGUCUUCCAUGGCUUCACCUAUUCCAGAUUUGAAAAUGAAAAAAAAAAAAAUGAGAAGAGCAUGACAAUGAGAGUGGUUUCUUAAAGAGAAAGAUUUUUUGC